rnacentral:lncRNA from 1 species
AUGCCUGUUUCCUUAAAUAUUUAUCACUUCUUUAUGGAUAAAACACUCAAAAUCCUUCUUCUGGUACAAGAUUGCCACCCUAUUGUGUACUAACACAGCAGAAACUCUUACUCCUGUCUCUGUGUAACUUAGUACUGAUUGAUCGACACUUCUCCAUCCUCCCUCUCCUGACAAUAAAAAACCACACAUUUCCUUUCCCCCUCAGACAGGUGACUUUCUGAAUGGACACCACAGAGUAAUGCCUGAGUUUAUUAACAGCGAAAACAUCAUUAGGAGCAGCACCCGAGAAUGGAGCUAGGAUGGCAUCGAGUAAUGAAUCCCUUAAAUGUGCAUGCUAAAGAAAAGAGAUGACUCUCUUUGGCCCAUUGCUGAUGCAAUUUCUACUUCAAUGGUGACUUUCCCUACUGUUCCUCACUUAAAGAACCUCCUGCAGCAUUCAACACAGCAAGACAGAGCAGCUGAUUUGAGAAGUUUCUACAAAGAUAUCUUUAAAUUCACGGAUUCCUUCCUCAGCUGGGUCCAGCAUAUUGUGUUCAAAAAUCUCAGGAUGGAGUCAGCUGUUCCUAACAACUUGACUUUUGUAUAUUGAAGACACAUUAAUCCAGAGAAAAUGCAAAAACUAUUACUUAGAGGGGAAAGAGGUACAAGGCAGAGAGCAAUGAGACAUCAACUGCCAGUUCCUUAAAGAGCAAGACAGAGGACAGCCUUCAAGGUAGACAUCAGCAAACAGAGUUCAGUGGAAGCAACCUAAAGACAACUUAAGAAGCUGUGAAGUGUGGAGUCAGAGGCCCUCCCAGCAGUGCAGGCUCAGCACUGACACUGCUUUCAGAUCAUGGUGGCAUCUAGAGGUUGUAGCUCUUAGUGUAGCUUCAUAUCUAUUACCAUUUUAGCCUUGUGUAGCUAUUUAAAUUAUAAUAAAUUAAAAAUUCAUUUCCUCAGUUUCAUUAGUCAUGUUUCAAGUGCUCAAUGACCACACGAGGCAGGCAGCUACCGUGUUAAAGCCUACAGAAGGGAAUGUGUUCUUCACUGCAGAAGGUUCCAUCCAGUAGUCCUGGAUUGAACUUCAUUUCAGUCACUUCAGCUAUUUUCCCUAAGAAAUGUGUUUGGAAUUACUUUUUUUUUUUAACUGUCCCAUUGAAAACGGUGAGAAAAUGGAGUAGAAUUAUUCUGAUAACGAUAAAUCCAAUAUAGACUCUCCAGUGAGAAGAUUAAGUACAAACCUGAAAUUCAAUUAAAAAUAUUGAUUAUCUAUCCAGAACUAUUCCUAUCCCCCUGUGUGCUCUUUUUCUCUUCCCCCAAGUAUGUCCUGUCAAAUUGAAAAAUAAGUUGGAAUUAUUGGAAGCCAAUCAGGUUGAUUAGCAGAUGCAAAUUAAGAAUCUACUGAAAGAAGAGAACAUGAUGCUGGCUGAACCUGCCUUUGGGGCUCUGUGGCCCCCAAUUGGUUUAUGCGGACCUCCAGCAGGGAAUUAGGAAACUUCUCCAAUUGCUCUGUCUGCCGCCUGCCAGACGCCCUGGAUGGCCCUGAGAGCACCAGAGGAAGCCAGCAGUUCCAGGACUGCAUCUUUUCAUAAUCGAUGGAAAGUAUUUACACCUGGUGCAUCCUCAAACUGUAAUAGAUGUUCCCUAUGUUAGGGAAAUGUCAUGGUACACUGAUCGUGUCUUUUGGGUUUUGUAAUACCAUAGAGAUAAAUUUGGACUGUAUUGGAAUAUCAGCGCACAAUGGAUGGCAAGCGAUAGUGUCUGAGCUGUGCUAUGCCUGAUCCUGUGCCAUGAAAUGACAACAAAGAUGCUUCAUGCUUACUCCACAAGAUCCCUGUGUAGUGUGGGAACUAUACCCACUCUCACGGAUGAGAAAACUGAGGCUUAGUGGAAUCAUACCUGUUUCCAAUCCUUUCAAAUGUUCCCACUAAGUACCAGAGGUGCAUAGUCUGAAACCAAUUUUGAGCAUUUUAUCACUGUGCACACCUGCAAUAUUUGCUGAAUAGAUAAGGGAGCUUGGCUCUUCAUCAGCAGUCUGCAUGGAGUCCAGUUGAGAAGUCCUAAGACUCUGGACAGUAUCCAAGAGGAGGUUUUUCAGGGGUAUUAAUGUAGUGAUCUUAUCCAAUUCUUGAAUGCAUAUUUUCUUUGAAACAUUUUUCUCCCAGCAAAGUUAUUGAUGGUCUACUGUGUAUCAAUUGUUAGGGAUAUAGAGAUAAAUAAAAUAUAGUCUCUGCUUUCAACUCAAAUAGCUCCCAAUAGUCUAUAAGCAAUAGAUGAAUCAAUAAAGAGUUAUAAAUUAGGUGGUAGAGAUAAUGAGAGAAAGAUGCAUAGGUACUCUGCAGAAGUGUCCCAGAGGUGGGCUGGCAAGAGGAGAAGCCAGGUGCAGACACUGAAGAGGUACAUUGUGUGCAGAAAUUGAAAAUACUAAUAAAAUCAACUAAAAGACUUCUUAUUAUCAUCAUAUGACAGCAAUUCCAAACAAUGUCAGGGGCAAAUUCUUUCCCUCUAAAAUCA